rnacentral:rRNA from 1 species
UGGCUCAGGAUGAACGGCUAGCGGGAGGCCUAACACAUGCAAGCCGAGCGGUAUUGUUCUUCGGAAAUGAGAGAGCGGCGUACGGGUGCGGAACACGUGUGCAACCUGCCUUUAUCUGGGGGAUAGCCUUUCGAAAGGAAGAUUAAUACUCCAUAAUAUAUUGAACGGCAUCGUUUAAUAUUGAAAGCUCCGGCGGAUAGAGAUGGGCACGCGCAAGAUUAGCUAGUUGGUGAGGUAACGGCUCACCAAGGCGAUGAUCUUUAGGGGCCUGAGAGGGUGAUCCCCCACACUGGUACUGAGACACGGACCAGACUCCUACGGAAGGCAGCAGUGAGGAAUAUUGGUCAAUGGGUGCAAGCCUGAACCAGCCAUCCCGCGUGAAGGACGACUGCCCUAUGGGUUGUAAACUUCUUUUGUAUAGGGAUAAACCUACCCUCGUGAGGGUAGCUGAAGGUACUAUACGAAUAAGCACCGGCUAACUCCGUG